rnacentral:rRNA from 1 species
CUACGGGAGGCAGCAGUAAGGAAUCUUCCGCAAUGGACGAAAGUCUGACGGAGCAACGCCGCGUGAGUGAUGAAGGUUUUCGGAUCGUAAAGCUCUGUUGUUUAGAGAAGAACAAGUGCAAGAGUAACUGCUUGCCCCUUGACGGUACCUAACCAGAAAGCCACGGCUAACUACGUGCCAGCAGCCGCGGUAAUACGUAGGUGGCAAGCGUUGUCCGGAAUUAUUGGGCGUAAAGGGCUCGCAGGCGGUUUUUUAAGUCUGAUGUGAAAGCCCCCGGCUCAACCGGGGAGGGUCAUUGGAAACUGGGAAACUUGAGUGCAGAAGAGGAAAGUGGAAUUCCAUGUGUAGCGGUGAAAUGCGUAGAGAUGUGGAGGAACACCAG